rnacentral:rRNA from 1 species
AGGCUCAGAUUGAACGCUGGCGGCAGGCCUAACACAUGCAAGUCGAGCGGAUGACAGGAGCUUGCUCCUGAAUUCAGCGGCGGACGGGUGAGUAAUGCCUAGGAAUCUGCCUGGUAGUGGGGGACAACGUUUCGAAAGGAACGCUAAUACCGCAUACGUCCUACGGGAGAAAGCAGGGGACCUUCGGGCCUUGCGCUAUCAGAUGAGCCUAGGUCGGAUUAGCUAGUUGGUGAGGUAAUGGCUCACCAAGGCGACGAUCCGUAACUGGUCUGAGAGGAUGAUCAGUCACACUGGAACUGAGACACGGUCCAGACUCCUACGGGAGGCAGCAGUGGGGAAUAUUGGACAAUGGGCGAAAGCCUGAUCCAGCCAUGCCGCGUGUGUGAAGAAGGUCUUCGGAUUGUAAAGCACUUUAAGUUGGGAGGAAGGGCAGUAAAUUAAUACUUUGCUGUUUUGACGUUACCGACAGAAUAAGCACCGGCUAACUCUGUGCCAGCAGCCGCGGUAAUACAGAGGGUGCAAGCGUUAAUCGGAAUUACUGGGCGUAAAGCGCGCGUAGGUGGUUCGUUAAGUUGGAUGUGAAAUCCCCGGGCUCAACCUCGGGAACUGCAUUCAAAACUGUCGAGCUAGAGUAUGGUAGAGGGUGGUGGAAUUUCCUGUGUAGCGGUGAAAUGCGUAGAUAUAGGAAGGAACACCAGUGGCGAAGGCGACCACCUGGACUGAUACUGACACUGAGGUGCGAAAGCGUGGGGAGCAAACAGGAUUAGAUACCCUGGUAGUCCACGCCGUAAACGAUGUCAACUAGCCGUUGGGAGCCUUGAGCUCUUAGUGGCGCAGCUAACGCAUUAAGUUGACCGCCUGGGGAGUACGGCCGCAAGGUUAAAACUCAAAUGAAUUGACGGGGGCCCGCACAAGCGGUGGAGCAUGUGGUUUAAUUCGAACAACGCGAAGAACCUUACCAGGCCUUGACUCCAAUGAACUUUCCAGAGAUGGAUUGGUGCCUUCGGGAGCAUUGAGACAGGUGCUGCAUGGCUUGUCGUCGCUCGUGUCGUGAGAUGUUGGGUUUAGUCCCGUACCGAGCGCAACCCC